rnacentral:lncRNA from 1 species
AUAAAUAAAUAUUUUUAUAAUAUCUUUUAUUGAUCUUAUUGUUUCAAAAAUUGAUUUUGAUGACUACAAAAUAUUUGAGAGGAGUACUAAUAAAUUUUUAUUUUUAAAAGAAGUUUAAAUAUAUAUUUCAAGUUGUUCAAACUUUUAGAGUUGAUAAAGUUAGUUGGAGAAUGCCAAAGUAGCAAGUUCAUCAAGUUGG